GAUGAACGCUGGCGGCGUGCCUAACACAUGCAAGUCGAGCGAACAGACGAGGAGCUUGCGCCGCGGACGUGAGCCGCGGACGGGUGAGUAACGCGUGGAAAACGUACCUAUAAGAGUGGGAUAACUUCGGGAAAGGGGAGAUAAUACCGGAGAAUAUAUUGAAGCGCGGGGGGGAAUAGUGAAAGACGGUGUUGCUGGAUGGAAUAGAGGGAUACGAGCCGCAUUAGCUAGUAGGUACGGUAAAAGGUUACGAAGGGUACGAUGCGUAGCCGAGCUGAGAGGGUGAUCGGCCACACUGGAACUGGGCCGCGCUCCAGGCUCCUACGGUAGGCCGCAGUCUGCAACCUUCCGCAAUGGGCGAAAGCUUGACGCAGCAGCCCCGCGUGUGUGAUGACGGUCUCCCGAUCGUAAAACCCUGUUACUGGGGAAGAACCACUUUCUACGUAACUGUGCCCGUCUUGACGGUACCUAAUCAGAAAGCACCGGCUAACUACGUG
rnacentral:rRNA from 1 species